AACCUUUACAAUGCACGCAAGUGCGAUAAGGGGACCCCGAGUGUUGGUGCCUAGCAUCAACUGUCUAACUGCCUAAAAAACAGUUAUUAGCAAGAGCCGGGUAAGACCGGUGCCAGCCGCCGCGGUAACACCGGCGGCUCGAGUGGUGACCGUUAUUAUUGGGUCUAAAGGGUCCGUAGCCGGCCUAAUAAGUUCUUUGGGAAAUCUGGCGGCUUAACCGUCAGGCUGCUGAGGG
rnacentral:rRNA from 1 species